AUGACAUAUGGUUCUGAGGUGUGCUUACAAGCUACUCAAACCAAGACUUUUCACAAAAUGCAGCCAAAAUAUAGAUCUGAUAACAUUAGAAAUCACCAUGCACUGAAACAAAUACGUAUUCAUGCGACAAAAAGGAGGUUCUCUUAUGAUUCCGUGGUGAAAACUGACACGGUCCAGAAGCACACAAGGAGUUCAAUAGCAGAUUCACAUCAGAUCAUUAUCAACCAUACCAGCAGAAUCAAGAAAUGUGCGGUGGCAUUGAACAACGGUACUGUAGCACCUUCAGUUAAGGCUUCUCACGGCAGAUAUAAAGGGUGGGGUUCAACGAACUUUGGUGGCAAUGUUAUCAAACAAAGCUCGCGCAAAAUAGACACGAACUCCCUUAUUUGA
rnacentral:rRNA from 1 species